AGAGAACUCGAAGGAUCCCCGA
rnacentral:miRNA from 1 species